rnacentral:rRNA from 1 species
AGCGAACGCUGGCGGCAGGCUUAACACAUGCAAGUCGAGCGGGCGUAGCAAUACGUCAGCGGCAGACGGGUGAGUAACGCGUGGGAACGUACCUUUUGGUUCGGAACAACUCAGGGAAACUUGUGCUAAUACCGGAUAAGCCCUUACGGGGAAAGAUUUAUCGCCGAAAGAUCGGCCCGCGUCUGAUUAGCUAGUUGGUAGGGUAAUGGCCUACCAAGGCGACGAUCAGUAGCUGGUCUGAGAGGAUGAUCAGCCACAUUGGGACUGAGACACGGCCCAAACUCCUACGGGAGGCAGCAGUGGGGAAUAUUGGACAAUGGGGGCAACCCUGAUCCAGCCAUGCCGCGUGAGUGACGAAGGCCCUAGGGUUGUAAAGCUCUUUUGUGCGGGAAGAUAAUGACGGUACCGCAAGAAUAAGCCCCGGCUAACUUCGUGCCAGCCGCCGCAGUAA